UAUUUUUUGUGUAUAUUUUAUGUUUAUACUUGUGUAUAAUUUUAUCUUCUCCUCAAUUUAAAAAAUGAAUUCAGCUGGGACCCACAAUUGUGGAUCUCUAAAGGAUGUUAAUACCUUCCCUUCGGGAUUACUUGAACUCCUUACCUAAAAUCUAAUGGUUUCAUAGAAUAUUUUUCUUAAUUAAUAAAUUGGUUUUUUAAUUAUCCUAAAAUUAGGUGGCAACUCCUUAAAAUAAUAUUCUUUCUUUAAAUGUCUUUUUAAACUAUUAAAUUGAUGAUUUUUUACGAGUUCCACAACGUUGCAACUUAUUUGCACAAAAUAGCGAUGUAACAGACACAUAAGACUUGACCACUUUAGGAGUAGGUUAAGCAAUUUACUUUCCUUUGCUUUCCCUACUUUUCCAAACCAAGCAACGCGAAACAUCCUCCACAUCAUCAUCUUCCACAGGAGGAAGCACAAUAUCAAAUUAAGGGAGUGGAGAAGAAGGCAUGUCGUCCUAAAUGGGUCCAGGUCCGGGAACCAAGUGCCAUACUUUCUUUCAAAUUGAUGCAGCUCCUCCUACAUGAAAUUCACCCGGUCAGUAUCCUUGAGUGCAUCCUUCAUAUUUUUGGGCUCAAUGGUGGAUAUGAAUGUUUAGAAGGCAAUCAUGCUUCCUUUCUGAGAUCUGGUGUGCAUGCCUGAAUCCAAGGGUGAGAUGACGUUAUCUAGAGAUGAGAUGAUUUUUUUCCAGCCUAAUCUUCUUUUGAGCUAAUGUGUUUGACUGGCACUAGGUUCUUGAGCUUCUUUAUUAGUAGGUUUAGGUGGAGAAAGAUCAACAUUUCCUAUAAGAUCUUACGGACCAAGUCCUUCAGCUUCCUCAUUUUUCUCCAAAUCAUUAACUUUCUCAGCAAGAUCACCAAUGUUAACUUCUUCAUUAAGAUAGUCUCUUUGAAUUAGAAGAGGUUUUUCUAUCUUAGCAUCAUCCUUGUUGGUUGAUGAAUAUCCGAGGAACACUUAUUCAUUACUCUUGGGAUCAAACUUUCCAUGAUCAUCCUUUUCAUUGUUCAAAACAAAACGCUUGCAUCCAAAGGCCUAAUAUAAUUUAACUUAGGCUUUCGAUUAUUAAUUAAUUCAUAGGAAGUUUCAUUUAGAAUUGACCCAUUAGACACAUGUUGGUCACAUAACAAACAGUAUUGAUAGCUUCAACCUAGAAGUUCUUUGGAAGAUCAACAUCAAUCAACAUGGUUCUUGAAAUGGCAAAUGGGCUUAUAUUCUUCCUUUCAACUACUACGGUUUUUUGAGGAGUUCUUGGGGUUGAGAAGUUGUGACUGAUCCCAUGAUAUGUGCAGAAGUUCUCCAUUUUUGCAUUUACAAAUUUUGUUCCAUGAUUAGACUUGAUCCCUAUAAUUUUACAGUUAAGCUUUACCUGAAUCUGCUUAGCAAAGAUCAUUAGAGCUUCAAACAUUUCAUCUUUAGAUCUCAGGAACAUGGUCCAAGUAAAUCUUGAGAAAUCAUUUACAAUCACAAAGAUGUAUUUCUUCUAUCAUCUUCUUUGAAUUUUUACAGGUCCACAAUGUCCAUGUGGAGUAAUCCAAGAGGCCUGGUAACUGACUGUCUUUCUUUGAGAAUUGGUAGAGCGGCCAUCUAAGCAUGAUCCUCUCUUGGUGUUAACCAUAUAGAGAGUACAAGCUCUAAUACCAAAUAUUGGCUUGCAUGAGUCCACCACAUGUAGAGAGACUAAGUCCCUUGACUAUACUAGAAACAUAAGUGUUUAAGUAAAUGCUUAAAUUAAAGAACACAAAACUUUACGUGGAAAUCAAACCACGAUCCGUCAAACAAUAUUUCUCAAAACUCCAUUAACUUCAAGCAACUCAUAAAUACAGACUCGAGUACUUAGAACAGAUUAAAUUCUUAAUCCUACACACCUUAUGACACCUGUAUUACAAGACACAAAGAGGCAACCCUAUUGCCUACUAUAUCAACUACCUCUAAUUAAUAUAGACUUCAACCACACUAUUCGGCAUGUCCAAUGUAUAAGAGAGACAAAACAACCUAGUAUAAGAGAGACAAAACAACCUAGUAGCAUGCCAGUGAUCGAGGAUUGCUGUCCUUUCUGCGCCUCUGUUGCAAUGCCGACCAACCACUGCAGUUUUUGCAGCUUUACAAUUGCACACCAUUGACUUGUCCUGUAAGACGAGAACUCUGAAGACCAGGUCCUUUGACUUGGUCCCUUCACUAUAUAGCUUGUUAAUUCAUCAAAACUUAAAAUGCAACAAAGUCUGGAUGUAGUUUUUUUGACGUGAAGUUGGGAGUAUUAGGAAGUUGCAUAAUCUCCUAAUUAAAGCUAGAAAAUGCUUCCUCCAUCAUAUUAUUGGCAUAAUUGUUUUUUAACCAAGCCUUGGGACUUCUAUUAAUUUAGGUAAUGUAUUCAAAUAAGCCGAUGUUAUUUGACUUGUAUGAAGGCUAUCUAUUACUCUCUCCGUUUCAAUUUGUUUGUCUUUUUUGUUCUAGUUCGUUUAAAGAAAAAAAAAAAUUCUUUUUGACAACUCUUUAAUUCUAACUUUUCAUAUGACAUGUUUAAGACAAUAAGAUUAAAAGGUAUUUUUGUACAUUUACAAUAUUUUAGCUUAAGACAAUAAGAUUCUAAAGACUUCUUUAAUUUCUUAAUCUCCGUGCAAAGUCAAAACCAGACAAUUGAAAUGGAGAAAGUAAUUGAUAUGGAGUACAUUCAAUUUGUCUACCUGUAGUAUUUCAUCCUCUAUGUACUUUGUAGAAUUUUGAGGGUGUAUUCAGAUCUGAUGUUAAAGUUGAAUAAUAUACCAUCUAAUUGUGCCAAGAGAUUGUGUUUUUUCGCCUCAGACUGCAAUAUCUGCUCUUCAAUCUGUUCUACAAGAGGAUUUCAAUGCCAGCGAGAUCGAGGAAGUAUGCCAAUAUGAGUGCUCCAGGAAGUUUUACUCUCCCUCGAGAUACAAUACCCCUUUAGAAAUUUGCAUAUUGUCAGUGUGUUGUCAACCGAAGAAAUCGAUGAGCACUUAACGACCAUCAGUGAGUGUGAUUAAUUGCCAUUGAAUACCAUCCGAUUCAUUAGAGACGUAUGAUUCACAUAAAAUAUCUUAGGAUUCUAUUGUACGGCUAGCGCUGAAGUUGAUUGAAUCCUAUCACAUACGCUCAUACGUUUUUCAACUUAUUUCCUGCUGUAACUUCUCGCCGUGUCAUCUAAGUUUCACAAAUUGUUUGAAUGCAACUGUUUGGAAUUAUUUUCUCUUGCAUUUUGGGUCCUGUUUGUGUUUACUGGUAGACAAAAGGAAAUUGUGCACACAUUUCUCAAAACUUUAAUUUGUUUCCUUUACAUGACCUGAUUAUUGGGCCCUUAAACAAUAGGUGAUGUUGGACGCCUCAUGAAAAUCUUUGUUAAUUGUUAUCUUCCAAUCAGUUCUUGUUGCUCAGUAUAUGAUAAUGGUUAUGACUUUGUGUUACACUACUGAUAGGGUAAUGUCGGUACGCAGAUACAUUAAUAGUUGCAACUAUAGUUCACCACACCACCACGGCAAGCAUGUUUGGUGGGCAGAUGUUUACCUAGUUAUUACACCACCACGGCGGCAUGUCUAGUUGACAGAUGUUUAUUUAGUUACUACACCACCAAGAUGACCACUGAGCUGGGCAGGGUCAUCAUUAUGACAGUAUUAUCAUAUAGUUCACCAUUAGGGAAGUAUGAUUUUUAUAUGUGUUUACUUGGUUGUAUUCACACAGAAAGGUUACAGUGUUAUCAAAUUUCAGCUCCCAGAGUCGCAAGUUGUUUCUAUCCCUAACUUUUGGUAUCUUUUAUAUAUUUAUAUUUACAGGUUUCAGCCUUACAUACUUGGUACAUAUAAUUCGUACUAAUGUCCCUUUGCCUGGGGACGUUGCAUUUGUGCUGCAGGCGUAGGUAGAGGCUCUGAUACCAAGUCUGUCACGCUCUAAAAUUGGGGGAGGGCGAGAUUGGCCUCGAU